rnacentral:piRNA from 1 species
UGAGGCAGACAGUUGCUGUGGGUG